GACGAACGCUGGCGGCGUGCUUAACACAUGCAAGUCGAACGGUGAAAGCGGAGCUUGCUCCGCUGGAUCAGUGGCGAACGGGUGAGUAACACGUGGGCAACCUGCCCCUCACUUCGGGAUAACUCCGGGAAACCGGGGCUAAUACCGGAUAUGACCUCCUUGGGCAUCCUUGGAGGUGGAAAGUUUUUCGGUGAGGGAUGGGCCCGCGGCCUAUCAGCUUGUUGGUGAGGUAGUGGCUCACCAAGGCGACGACGGGUAGCCGGCCUGAGAGGGCGACCGGCCACACUGGGACUGAGACACGGCCCAGAAUCCUACGGGAGGCAGCAGUGGGGAAUAUUGCGCAAUGGGCGAAAGCCUGACGCAGCAACGCCGCGUGCGGGAUGACGGCCUUCGGGUUGUAAACCGCUUUCAGCAGGGAAGAAGCCGCAAGAUGACGGUACCUGCAGAAGAAGCACCGGCUAACUACGUGCCAGCCGCCGCAGUAA
rnacentral:rRNA from 1 species